AUGUUCGCCUUUUCAAAAGGUCCCGCCGGCAGCUCAACUUACGACAGAGUUGCUCAAAAAUUUCAAGAUGGAUAUGAAAAAAUGAGAGCCGCGAUUGAAAUGGAUGAACUCACAAAACAUGCUGGAUCGAUUCAAGAGAAGCUACGGACUGCCGAACUAUAUAAGGAAGCGAGAUCAUUACUGAAAGAAGCAAAUGAAUUCAACAUUAUGGAUAUUCCAGAAACCCGGAGAAGUGAAAUCAGAGAUAAACGACAAAAUAUGAUGAAACUAGAGAAAAGCGCUCAGGAUAGACUCAUUGCAAUUUGUAAUGAAGUUGAUCCAAAUGUGAAGCAAUCGAGAUCAGCUACAGUUGGACCGUCACGACCUGCAAGUGCAGCCAGAGUCACGCCAAGGCCUACAAGAGCCACAGCACCAGUGAGUAUCCAAAUUUUAUAUAACAUUUUUUAUUUUGUCACUUAUUAAAUCGUGAGCAUUAUUAACUGAUUUUUCACUUCUUGUGUUGUGUAGGAAAAGAAAAAUGCGGCAAAAGCGAAAGAAAAUGAUGAAAAUCGGCACGUGUGCUCGCGCGGUGAUCGUUGUGGAGCUCACCAUCAACCUGUGACUAAGAAGUCGGAUACUGUGCAUCCGGAGCCUCCUGUUCAAGCGUCGAAUCGAAAAAUGGAAACCGUAAAACGGGUCAAAGUCGACAAGGUGUUUAGUUUGGUUUUGAUUUGCUGCAUGAAAAAAUGUGUUCGUCCUUAAAAUUAGUGUUUCUAAAAUUUUCAUUUUCCACGAACAUCAAUUAUUUCAGGCAAGUCUUCCGAUGCAUCAGAAUCCAGUAAAUCGAGCUGCACUGCUGAAUGGAGUUGAUAAAGUCAUUGGGGAACGUUUACUAGACGAGGUUCUUGACAACACUGGAGUACGGAUGGAUGAUGUUGCCGGAUGUCAUUCGGCAAAAGCUGCUCUUGAGGAAGCUGUUAUCCUUCCGGCUCUGAAUCCAAACUUAUUCAAAGGACUUCGGCAGCCUGUUAAAGGAAUUCUUCUAUUCGGGCCACCUGGAAAUGGAAAAACUCUUCUCGCGAAAGCUGUAGCUGGCGAGUCAAAGCAAAUGUUCUUCAACAUCAGUGCAUCUUCUCUAACGUCAAAAUGGGUCGGUGACUCCGAGAAAACAAUUCGAGGUCUAUUUCAAAUUGCUCGAAAUGCACAACCAUCCAUCAUUUUCAUUGAUGAAAUUGACUCGAUCCUUUGUGAGCGAUCGGAAAAAGACGCGGAGGUAUCUAGAAGAAUGAAAACUGAAUUUCUCGUCCAAUUCGAUGGUGCAACGUCAUCAGCAGAUGAUCGCAUUCUUGUAAUUGGCGCCACAAACAGGCCACACGAGCUCGACGAUGCUGUUUUGAGACGUUUCCCGAAACGAAUUAUGCUUAAUUUGCCAGAUGAAGAAGCAAGGAAGGAGCUGAUCACAAAGACUUUGAAGAAGCACAAUAUGAUGGAUGGAUUGAUAAGUAGUGAUAUUAGAUACAUAGCUUCCAAUACAAGCGGGUUUUCGAACUCUGAUCUAGUUGCUUUGUGUAAAGAAGCUGCAAUGGUUCCGAUUCGUGAAAUCGACAGAUCGAAGCUUAGCAUGACUGACGGAGAAAAAAUACGCAAAAUUAGAGCAUCAGACUUCGAUACAGCAUUGCGCACAAUCAGACCAUCGACUUCUCAGAAAAUCAUGUCAAAACUCUCCGAUUUCUCUCGAAGUUUCGGUUGCUAA